AUAUACGUCAGGGAGCACAUUGCACAAUUUUUAAAGAAAAGGGGGACCACAUUUAACAUUUUUAAACCAUUGGGGGGACUAAAAUGAACUUUUUUACACGAACCUAGAUUGUUCAUUUUAAUUACAGUAGAAACUGAUAAUCAUCCUCUACAUGAAGAACACAUAAAAUUUUCAAAAUUCUCAAAACAUUCCUUGUAGUUAUGGCAACUUUCGUUACAACAAUGUGAGGAAUGUGAAAAUCCUUUGCCCCAUGUCUUCAAACAAGAAGAACAACU
rnacentral:lncRNA from 1 species